GUGGCAGUGCACUUCUUUGAGCACAUAUAUAAGGACCUGGGUUCAAACCCUCCCAUUCCCACUUCACAAGUAGUUAAGCAGUGUUGCAAGUUCUCUCUCCCUCUCAGCCAAUUCCUUGUUGAUAUCUGUCUCUGUUAAAUAAAUAAAUAUUGAAACAAAGAAAGACACCCCAACACUGUUCUACCACUUAUGAAGUUCCCCUCCCUCCAUGCAGAUACUCCCAUGUAAUGAGUAGGGGCUUGAACCCAGGUCCUUACACAUAGCAAAAUUUGUAUUCUACCUGGUAAGCUCUUAGCUUCUCCACAUUUUUUUUCUUCUUUUUUUACUCUAGGCCAUAAGCCUGUUUCAUUCUUUUUAAAUUUUUAUUUAUUUAUUUAUUCCCUUUUGUUGCCCUUGCUGUUUUAUUGUUGUAGUUAUUAUUGUUGUCGUUGUUGGAUAGCACAGAGAGAAAUGGAGAGAGGAGGGGACGACAAGAGACGGGGAGAGAAAGAUAGACACCUGCAGACCUGCUUCACCGCUUGUGAAAUGACUCCCAUGCAGAGCAAUGCAGAGCAGCCCUGUCUAAUGGUGGUGUGGAGGAUUGAACCUGGGACUUCAGAGACUCAGGCAUGAGAGUCUCUUUACAUAACCAUUAUGCUAUCUACCCCUCCCAUUCUCUACAUUUUUCUAUAUUUCCCAUGCUUUUUAAAAUAAAUUAUUGGGAGUCAGGCGCUAGCGCAGCGGGUUAAACACAUGUGGCACAAAGCGCAAGGACCAGCAUAAGGAUCCCAGUUUGAGCCCCCGGCUUCCCACCUGUAGGAGAGUCGCUUCAAGCACAGGCAAUGAAGCAGGUCUACAGGUGUCUAUCUUUCUCUCCCCCUCUCUGUCUUCCCCUCCUCUCUCCAUUUCUCUGUCCUAUCUAAUAACAAAAUCAGUAACAACAAUAAUAACUACAACAACAGUUAAAAAGGGCAACAAAAGGUAAAAUAAAAUAAAUUUUUAAAAAUAA